UCCUGGUUAACCCAGGCAGUCUCGUUAGAGUUCCCACCUUUACAUGUUGGCAACUAACGAUAAGGGUUGCGCUCGUUGCUGGACUUAACCAAACACCUCACGGCACGAGCUGACGACAGCCAUGCAGCACCUAUAUAGAGACCCUUUCGAGAAAUACCAUUUCUGAUAUCGUCCUCUAUAUUUCAAGCCCAGGUAAGGUUCUUCGCGUUGCAUCGAAUUAAACCACAUGCUCCACCGCUUGUGCGGGCCCCCGUCAAUUCCUUUGAGUUUCAGCCUUGCGGCCGUACUCCCCAGGCGGGGCGCUUAAUGCGUUAGCUGCGGCACAGAGACCGUGGAAUGGCCCCCACACCUAGCGCCCACCGUUUACGGCGUGGACUAC
rnacentral:misc_RNA from 1 species